rnacentral:misc_RNA from 1 species
AAUAACUUAGGAGAUACAAAGACAAUUUUUUAACAACAUAGCAGUCCUUUCUAUACAGCAGUCAUUAUUAUAAAAGUGAUUUCAACGUCUCGGAAUAAAAUUAUUACCAUGGACAAUAGCGAGUCCUGAUCUGAAACCGAUCGAGAACCUAUGAGAAAUAGCAAGAAAUGUUUACGGUCGAGAGAAGUCACCUACAGAAAAUGCCGUGGAACUUAAGAAAGAAAUAGAACCUGCGUGGACGAAUAUUGAAACUUUAAAUAAAAUUGUAGAUAGUGUAUCGAACAGAUUCAUAGAAGUAAUCAAAAAUAAAGGAAAAUCUACUAAUCAUCGAAUGGAAAGUUUCAGAGGCAAGCAGAUGGAUCAUAGCUACGAUAAACCCUCAAAACGUCCAAUCUCGCGACUAUAUCCCCGUCGAAGCUUUCGAUCGGACCAAUCCGGACGUCAGUCAAAGUCAAGAGUCGAAAAGGCAGGCUGACGUUUCCAAGACCCUGACAUGUAGACAGACAGAACCGGUCGAUGAACGUACGAAUUCAGGCUCAGGUAGCGGCGCACCGUAUCGCGUUACACGGUUAUGGAGCGAUCGAGAAGUCUGCAAUGGGUUACCGUGCGUGGGCGUACCAGUACAGAAUGCUUCAAAGCUGAUGAGUUUAAUUGUCCCAUCUCUUUUCAUCGUUUCGUAUCUUUUGUUAAUUCCUUUCAGUUUGUAUAUCUUUGAUGAAACGCUAUUGGAUCGGGAAUAUGAGUCCUUGCAAAACGUAACGUAAAUAAGCUUCGUAAUAUUUAUGACAGACAAUGUACGUGACGAUGAUAGCAAACACGCGAAGAAUUUUUUUUAAUCGUAGAAAGACAAACAAUCUCUCUAAACUGUCCUAUCUUCACCAAUUUAUAAACUGAGAAGCUUUAAACCCUUUGAGUGCUGAAUACUCGCGGCCUAUGCCGUCCGUACGGACGGCGCGCGUCUAGCGCUGACGAUCGCUGUGGACGGAAUACUUUUUCGUUAGACUGAACUCUGUUGAUUGACUAUUCAAAGCGCAAAUCGUAAUAAGUUAUAGUAAUUCUUUUGCACGAGAUUAAAUGAUUCAAGAGCGUUAUUUUUUAGUUAUUUUUAAUUAUUUAUUAUAAACAUUGAAAUUUACAGUUAACUAGAAUUUUUGUAAUAAACUAGAAAACAAUAAACUAGAAACCUAAAUUU